UGCGGGGGGGGCAAGCGUUGUUCGGAAUUACUGGGCGUAAAGGGCUCGUAGGUGGCCAACUAAGUCAGACGUGAAAUCCCUCGGCUUAACCGGGGAACUGCGUCUGAUACUGGAUGGCUUGAGUUCGGGAGAGGGAUGCGGAAUUCCAGGUGUAGCGGUGAAAUGCGUAGAUAUCUGGAGGAACACCGGUGGCGAAGGCGGCAUCCUGGACCGACACUGACGCUGAGGAGCGAAAGCCAGGGGAGCAAACGGG
rnacentral:rRNA from 1 species